AUGUGGCCGCUCUUUGAAAUGGUGCUAUUCUUGGGGGCCCUAUUGGGGCUGUGGCUGCUCUUGGGGAAGCUGCAGCUUUUUGGAAAGGCGCAUGCUCUUGGGGAUGCUCUUGGGAGUGUGACUGCUCUUUGGAGUGGCGAUGCACUUGAGGUCCCUUUUGGGGCUGUGGCUGCUCUUGGGGAAACUGCAGCUUUUUGGAACGGCGCAGCUCUUGUGAGUGUGGCUGUUCUUUGGAGUGGCGCUGCACUUGAGGUCCCUUUUGGGGCUGUGGCUGCUGUUGCGGAAGCUACAGCUUUUUGGAAUGGCACCGUGGCUGCUCUUGGUGAUGCUGCGACUCUUUGGAAUGGUGCCACUCUUGGGGAUACUCGUGGGUGUGUGGCCUCUCCUUGGAAUGCUGCUGCUUUUGCGGGCCUACUUGGUGUUGUGGCUGCUCUUGGGGAGGCUGCGACUUUUUGGAAUUGUGCCGCUCUUGGGGAUGCUUCUGCGAGUGUGACCGCUCUUUGGAAUGGCACUGCUCUUGGGGGUCCUCUUGGGAGUGUCGAUUCUCUUUGGAAUGGUGCUGCCCUUGGGGAUACCCUUGGGAGUGUGACCUCUCUUUGGAGUGGUGAUGCUCUUGAGGGCCCUCUUGGGGCUGUGACUGCUCGUGGGGAAGCUGCAGCUUUUUGGAAUGCUGGCACUCUUUGUGGUGCUCUUGGGAGGGUGGCUACUCUUUGGGGUGCUCUUGGUGCUGUGGUUGCUGUGGCUUUUUGGAAUGGUGCUGAUCUUGGGGGCCCUCUUGGGGCUGUGGCUGCUCUUGAGGACACUUCGGCGUUUUGGCAUGGCACCACUCUUGGGGAUGCUUUUUGGAGUGUGGAUGCUCUUUGGAAUGGCUCCGCUCUUGGGGCUGUGGCUGCUUUUGGGGAUGCUGCGAGUUUUUGAAAUGGCGCCGCACUUGGGGAUGUUCUUCGAAGUGUGGCCACUCUUCGGAACGGUGCUGGUCUUCGAGCCCUCUUGAGGCUGUGGCUGUAUUUAGGGAUGCUGCAACUUUUGGGAAUGGCGCCUUGCCUGCUUUUGGGGAUGCUGGGACUUCUUGGUAUAGCGCCUCUCUUGGGGAUGCUCUUGGGAGUGUAGCUCUUUGGAAUGGUGCCCUCCUGGGGGCCCUCUUGGGGCUGUGGCUGCUCUUGGGGAAGCUGUACGCUUUUUGGAAUGGUGCCCC
rnacentral:lncRNA from 1 species